UACGUAGGGUGCGAGCGUUAAUCGGAAUUACUGGGCGUAAAGCGUGCGCAGGCGGUGAUGUAAGACCGGUGUGAAAUCCCCGGGCUUAACCUGGGAACUGCAUUUGUGACUGGCGGGCUAGAGUAUGGCAGAGGGGGGGUAGAAUUCCACGUGUAGCAGUGAAAUGCGUAGAUAUCUGGAGGAACACCGGUGGCGAAGGCGGCAUCCUGGACCGGUAUUGACGCUGAGGCGCGAAAGCCAGGGGAGCAAACGGG
rnacentral:rRNA from 1 species